rnacentral:sRNA from 1 species
AUUAAAAUCAAAAUCAAUAAUCAAAAGUAAGUAUCAUAUAUUCGUUCAUCCAUUCACGACCAGUUUGAUUUUUUUUUGAGUUGGAGAUGUGUUAUAAAUCGUUUGGAUAUCUUGAAGAAACUUUAUUAUAUGUAUAGAGGCAAUCUGGAAAAUCCGCGAGUUCAACGUUAUUUACAGUUUAUCACACUAUUUGAUGUAAUUUUUGGUGAUGUACCAAAUGCAUAAAGUAUUAAGCUUUUUCUUGCAAAAUUUAUUUAUUUUUGAAUUUAAUGUUUUAUUUACGGUUUUAAUUUUUAAUUAUAU